CGACCACACGGCUCCCGGUUGCGGGCGGACGGCGCGACGCCGUCGGCGGCGGUGGAGACGUUGACCGUCCUGGUGCCGCACCGGGCGUUGCCGG
rnacentral:tRNA from 1 species